GAUGAACGCUGGCGGCGUGCCUAAUACAUGCAAGUCGAGCGAACAGAUAAGGAGCUUGCUCCUUUGACGUUAGCGGCGGACGGGUGAGUAACACGUGGAUAACCUACCUAUAAGACUGGGAUAACUUCGGGAAACCGGAGCUAAUACCGGAUAACAUAUUGAACCGCAUGGUUCAAUAGUGAAAGGCGGCUUUGCUGUCACUUAUAGAUGGAUCCGCGCCGUAUUAGCUAGUUGGUAAGGUAACGGCUUACCAAGGCAACGAUACGUAGCCGACCUGAGAGGGUGAUCGGCCACACUGGAACUGAGACACGGUCCAGACUCCUACGGGAGGCAGCAGUAGGGAAUCUUCCGCAAUGGGCGAAAGCCUGAUGGAGCAACGCCGCGUGAGUGAUGAAGGUCUUCGGAUCGUAAAACUCUGUUAUCAGGGAAGAACAAAUGUGUAAGUAACUGUGCACAUCUUGACGGUACCUGAUCAGAAAGCCACGGCUAACUACGUG
rnacentral:rRNA from 1 species